rnacentral:lncRNA from 1 species
CAUCAACAUUAACAUGCUUUCCAGGAUAUGAUUCCUUUGGUGUAGCGUUGGUUCUCUUCACUAACAAACAGCAUGCCAAUACGCUGUGAUCAUGUCCGUUUACAAUGGGCUGCUGCUGGAACAGAGCCCGUAGAGAAACCAUUGUUCCCAACAACCCAAGGAAAUGGGCUGAAUCCUUUUUCUAUCGCUGAAGAAUCUUUUGAUGCUGUAAAAAACAUGCAGGACAUUUUUUUCAAAGCCAUUCUCCUUAACACUCUCCUCCGCUGAACAACAAUAGUUUUAUCGGCUGAUGUGGGGUUUGUGAGGGUGAGUUGCAGUUCUACAGUAGCCUAAGCAUGGUCUUUGGUUGGGUUGGGAUGUAAUAAUAAGGAGGUGUGUUAGUGAGGGGAAUCAGUGAUUGUUCUGAUGGAUGGAUGGAUGGAUGGAUGGAUGGAUGGAUGGAUGGAUGGAUGGAUGGAUGGAUGGAUGGCCGAACGGACAGGCUUGUUUUUCAGCUGAGGUGUUUGUUACAGUAAACAUAAUGAUGGUAGUAAAGGAUGGUUGUGGUGAGGUGUUUCAGUAGGCAGCUGAAGGCCAUUCUGGCUGGUCUAAUCCCCAGACCCAGACCAGGUGGCUCCUGCCCCAAGCUCCUCCACCUCAGCUGCCCCAAAUCUGCCACCACAGCCUGGGCACAGCUCGCCUAGCUCUGGGGAUCAGGAUGCAGGAUCAAAAAUGGUCAGAGCACUGGAGCAUGCUCCAUAAAGACCUAGAUGUUUGGCAAGCAAAUUGGACAUAAACACUGCUUUGAAAAUAAGUAAUGGAAUGUAUUAAUAAUAAACCAAGUAUUAUUUAUGGUCACAUUUUGCAUUACAAUUUUGUUAUUAGCGUGUAAUUACCCCUAUAAGUACAGUGUAAUAAAUCCAGUAUUGUGUUACAUGUACCCAUUGAAAGGAUAGGGUAAGAGUUAGUCUAACAGAUGUAAGUGCAUUGUAUUACCAUUCUAGAGUUUCAGCUCCACAAUGUAUUACCCUAACCCUACAUUGAUAAUACAUUGCACUUGUCAGCCUGUCAGAAACCCUAACCCUAACUCUAACCCAUAAAACAAUCCGUUAAUCUACAACCCUGGUGAAUGUUACAUGUUUGGCAAGAACGAUGAUUGAUGUCACUGUUGUGUCUAUAAGCAGGCUUUAUUCUCAUCCUAUAGUUCAAGCCUGUGGUUUCUACAUGUCUAUAUGGGAGCCAGUUAGUGAGUGGUUUGUGUCUGGAUGACCUAACAGCUAGAAGGAGGCAGGAGACUGUGGAGAAGAGAGGAAAGGAGGGAGAGUCAAAGCACCACUUUUCAUAUAAUUUCUGUCCUACAGCAAGGAGAAAAAGUUGAAGCCUUCAUAAACAUAGCCUGUAGCCCCCUGACUGAACAAUGAACAUCAGCGUCAUAUUGUAACCUGUCAUCCACACUAGAAGGGGCGAGCACUGGAAACACCAGCGUGAUUGACGGCUGUUGCGUCAGCAUCGCCCUAGAAACCCACGGCAACAGUGGAGUGAGGGGAAUAACAAGCGAUCUCCGACAGAGGAUAAAGCAAUAAGGAACGAACAGGAGAGAGGGAGCGAGAGAGGGUGGAAGGGAAAGAGAUAGAGAGAGAUGAGGUGAACGUUGCGUUUAUCACAGUGAUGUCCUCUUUGUUCAAAAUGAAACACCGUACCAUGGUGAUGGCUGUUGGCCGUG